GAUGAACGCUAGCGGCAGGCUUAACACAUGCAAGUCGAGGGGUAGAGUUAGCUUGCUAACUUGAGACCGGCGCACGGGUGCGUAACGCGUAUGCAAUCUACCUUUUACAGAGGGAUAGCCCAGAGAAAUUUGGAUUAAUACCUCAUAGUAUCUUUGCCUGGCAUCAGGUGAUUAUUAAAGUUCCAACGGUAAAAGAUGAGCAUGCGUCCCAUUAGCUAGAUGGUAAGGUAACGGCUUACCAUGGCAACGAUAGGUAGGGGUCCUGAGAGGGAGGUCCCCCACACUGGUACUGAGACACGGACCAGACUCCUACGGGAGGCAGCAGUGAGGAAUAUUGGACAAUGGGCGCAAGCCUGAUCCAGCCAUGCCGCGUGCAGGAAGAAGCAUCUAUGGUGUGUAAACUGCUUUUGUACGGGAAGAAACACUCCCUCGUGAGGGAGCUUGACGGUACCGUAAGAAUAAGGAUCGGCUAACUCCGUGCCAGCCGCCGCGGUAAUAC
rnacentral:rRNA from 1 species